ensembl:lncRNA
CCAACUAUAAGCCAACUCUAGUUCUGGUCCAACUAUAAACCAACUCUAGUUCUGGUCCAACUAUAAGCCAACUCUAGUUCUGGUCCAACUAUAAGCCAACUCUAGUUCUGGUCCAACUAUAAGCCAACUCUAGCUCAGGUUCCUCCAUAGAAGCCGCUCCUCCGUAGGUAUAAUUCUGUGGGCCUUUUUUCAGAUAAUGAUGUCAUAACAAGAUGCCCAGAGCUUCAAGCCUCCCCUUUCCCCACCCUCACAAUUUCAGUCGCAUGUCUUUUUUUUUUUUUUUUUAACUAGGCAAGUCAGUUAAGAACAAAUUCUUAUUUUCAAUGACGGCUUAGGAACAGUGGGUUAACUGGUCUAGGAACAGUGGGUUAACUGCCUGUUCAGGGCCAGAACGACAGAUUUCUACUUUGUCAGCUCGUGGAUUCAAUCUUGCAAUCUUCCGGUUGCUAGUCCAACACCAUAACCACGAGACUACCUGCCACCCCAUGCCCUACACUUGUCUGUCAAUCACACAUGUAAACAACUAUAGCCUAGGCAACCGAUUGCGCCCAUGCACCACCGGAUGUCUAGGUUAAAACAACUAUAGCUGGCCCGCUCCAUAGCAAGCUGCACUACUGGCUGUCUAGGUUAAAACAACUAUAUCUGGCCCGCUCCAUAGCAAGCUGCACUAUCGGCUGUCUAGGUUAAAACAACUAUAUCUGGCCCGCUCCAUAGCAAGCUGCACUAUCGGCUGUCUAGGUUAAAACAACUAUAGCUGGCCCGCUCCAUAGCAAGCUGCACUACUGGUUGUCUAGGUUAAACAACUAUAUCUGGC